rnacentral:rRNA from 1 species
UGGGGAAUAUUGGACAAUGGGGGAAACCCUGAUCCAGCAAUGCCGCGUGAGUGAAGAAGGCCUUAGGGUUGUAAAGCUCUUUCGCCCGCGAAGAUAAUGACGGUAGCGGGAGAGGAAGCCCCGGCUAACUCCGUGCCAGCAGCCGCGGUAAUACGGAGGGGGCUAGCGUUGUUCGGAAUUACUGGGCGUAAAGCGUACGUAGGCGGAUGCGCAAGUUGGGGGUGAAAUCCCGGGGCUUAACCUCGGAAUUGCCCUCAAAACUGCACGUCUUGAGACCGAGAGAGGUAAGGGGAAUUCCUAGUAUAGAGGUGAAAUUCGUAGAUAUUAGGAAGAACACCAGUGGCGAAGGCGCCUUACUGGCUCGGUACUGACGCUGAGGUACGAAAGCGUGGGGAGCAAACA